UAACUGGAGGGCUAGUGGUUAGGCCACAGCGUUCUCACUGCCGUGGUCUGGCUUCGAUUCCUGGCCAGCGAA